rnacentral:rRNA from 1 species
UAGGGAAUCUUCGGCAAUGGGGGGAACCCUGACCGAGCAACGCCGCGUGAGUGAAGAAGGUUUUCGGAUCGUAAAGCUCUGUUGUUAAGGAAGAACGAGUGUGAGAAUGGAAAGUUCAUGCUGUGACGGUACUUAACCAGAAAGCCACGGCUAACUACGUGCCAGCAGCCGCGGUAAUACGUAGGUGGCAAGCGUUGUCCGGAUUUAUUGGGCGUAAAGCGAGCGCAGGCGGUCAAUUAAGUCUGAUGUGAAAGCCCCCGGCUCAACCGGGGAGGGUCAUUGGAAACUGGUUGACUUGAGUGCAGAAGAGGAGAGUGGAAUUCCAUGUAUAACGGUGAAAUGCGUAGAUAUAUGGAGGAACACCAGUGGCGAAGGCGACUCUCUGGUCUGUAACUGACGCUGAGGCUCGAAAGCGUGGGUAGCAAACAGG